AACUCUUAGCGGUGGAUCACUCAGCUCGUCAGUUGAUGAAGAAUGCAACUAGCUGAGAGAAUUAAAGUGAAUUGCAGGACACAUUGAUCACUGACACUUUGAACACACUUGCGGCACCAGGUUCCUCCUGGGCCUACGCCUGUCUGAGUGUUG
ensembl:rRNA 5_8S_rRNA 5.8S ribosomal RNA